CACGAUGAAGAGUUUGAUCCUGGCUCAGGAUGAACGCUAGCGGCAGGCCUAACACAUGCAAGUCGAGGGGCAGCAUUUCCAGCUUGCUGGAAGAUGGCGACCGGCGCACGGGUGCGUAACGCGUAUACAAUCUGCCUCAUACUGAGGGAUAGCCCGAAGAAAUUUGGAUUAACACCUCAUGGUAUCAAGAAGCGGCAUCGCUAUUUGAUUAAAGGUUACGGUAUGAGAUGAGUAUGCGUCCCAUUAGCUUGUUGGUGAGGUAACGGCUCACCAAGGCUACGAUGGGUAGGGGUCCUGAGAGGGAGAUCCCCCACACUGGUACUGAGACACGGACCAGACUCCUACGGGAGGCAGCAGUGAGGAAUAUUGGACAAUGGGGGCAACCCUGAUCCAGCCAUGCCGCGUGCAGGAAGACGGCCCUAUGGGUUGUAAACUGCUUUUGUACGGGAAGAAGCCUCUCCACGCGUGGGGAGUUGACGGUACCGUAAGAAUAAGCACCGGCUAACUCCGUGCCAGCAGCCGCGGUAAUACGGAGGGUGCAAGCGUUAUCCGGAAUCAUUGGGUUUAAAGGGUCCGUAGGCGGGCGUCUAAGUCAGUGGUGAAAUGCAGGGGCUCAACUCCGGCACUGCCAUUGAUACUGGACGUCUUGAAUUAUUGUGAAGUGGCCGGAAUAUGUAGUGUAGCGGUGAAAUGCUUAGAUAUUACAUAGAACACCGAUUGCGAAGGCAGGCCACUAACAAUAUAUUGACGCUGAUGGACGAAAGCGUGGGUAGCGAACAGGAUUAGAUACCCUGGUAGUCCACGCCGUAAACGAUGGUUACUAGCUGUCCGGCCCGAUUGAGGGCUGGGUGGCCAAGCGAAAGUGAUAAGUAACCCACCUGGGGAGUACGUUCGCAAGAAUGAAACUCAAAGGAAUUGACGGGGGCCCGCACAAGCGGUGGAGCAUGUGGUUUAAUUCGAUGAUACGCGAGGAACCUUACCAGGGCUUAAAUGCAGCAUGACAGGUUUGGAAACAGACUUUUCUUCGGACAUGUUGCAAGGUGCUGCAUGGUUGUCGUCAGCUCGUGCCGUGAGGUGUCAGGUUAAGUCCUAUAACGAGCGCAACCCCUAUCGUCAGUUGCCAGCGGGUCAUGCCGGGGACUCUGGCGAGACUGCCGGUGCAAACCGUGAGGAAGGUGGGGAUGACGUCAAAUCAUCACGGCCCUUACGUCCUGGGCCACACACGUGCUACAAUGGUGGGGACAGAGAGCAGCCACUCCGCGAGGAGGAGCGAAUCUUCAAACCCCAUCACAGUUCGGAUCGCAGUCUGCAACUCGACUGCGUGAAGCUGGAAUCGCUAGUAAUCGCAUAUCAGCCAUGAUGCGGUGAAUACGUUCCCGGGCCUUGUACACACCGCCCGUCAAGCCAUGGAAGCUGGGGGUACCUGAAGUCGGUGACCGCAAGGAGCUGCCUAGGGUAAAACCGGUAACUGGGGCUAAGUCGUAACAAGGUAGCCGUACCGGAAGGUGCGGCUGGAACACCUCCUUUCUGGA
rnacentral:rRNA from 1 species